AUGGCAUUCCAACUCAAGCUGCUUCCCUUCCCGGUUCUCCUCCUCCUGUCCACCAUCUCCUUCUCCCACGCGAGCGAGCAGCCGUGCAAAUGCCCCUGCUCCGACCAGGAUCGGAGGAGCAACCACAGCUUGCACGCCGCCGCUCUCGCAUUGCAAAUGAUCGACCAAGAAUCCGGCGGGCUCGUACCGGUUGACUUCGACUUCAUCCGCCACAACCUGUCGGAUUCGGAGGCGAACAGUAUCCCAGGGUUCACCAUCAUCGAUGGAGUAGAGCUCUGGCAAUUGCGCCCCGACGGAGUGGGGGUCGACGAGGCAUCGUUCAACGUCACAAUCGGGUACCAUCCGCUGUCGAACCAGCAGGAGAGGCAGAAUGAGGCGUAUGGUGGCCCCACCUUCUUCAUCCUUCCCGACGAGGGCACACUGGAUCUUGGUGUGGCUCCGUACGGAGCAAACAGCUCGCUGGCGAAGCUACUGGUGGAAAACGGUUCCGCCAACUCGAUCACCAACCGUACAACCCGGGCCGCCAUCGUCUCCGGCAGCAGCUCUGUCUAUGUCGGGACCGGUGUGCUGGCUAACCGCUCAUUGACGGGGUUCACUGAUCCCAUCAUGGUUGUUGCUAUGAACAUCCAUGAAAUGCCGGCUUUCAGCCCCAACUACACCAUGUGGAUCGACUAUGAUCGUGCAGGGCGACGGUUGUCGGUCUUCGUGACAAUGAUUGGUCAGCUGCUCCCGGGAGGCGGCCUCAACUAUAUCGCAACGAUUGAGGACCUCCCUCGCUACGACCCCGACCCCGACGAAGGCCGCUUUUUGUCAAGGAAGGUGACAAUACUGUCUUCGGUCAUCGGGUCCAUAGCCGUCACCGCCGUCCUGGCCACCGCCGUGGCAUGCUACUUCAACUCGAGGUACCGGCGGUGGCAUAGAGACCUGGACCAGCUCGCCAAGUCCAUGGAGCGCCUUCCCGGGGUGCCCACGAAGGUGGAAUUCGCUGACAUCAAGAAGGCCACCAGCAACUUCCACGAGGCCAUGAAGCUCGGGGGAGGCGGCUUCGGAACCGUGUACAGGUGCACCCUGCCCGCCGCCGCUUCCAAGACGGAGCGACCCAUGGAUGUGGCAGUCAAGAGGUUCACGCGCGACGUGCAGAACCGCUGCUACGACGACUUCAUCGCCGAGGUCAGCAAUAUCAACAGGCUGCGCCAUAAGAACAUCGUCCCCCUCGUCGAAACAAUGGAGCACGGACGAGAUGAGCAAGCAGAAGAGGUGUUGGGGGACAUAAUCUUAGCCGGAGGUGAUAUCUUGUCGUAUCUUAACGACAAUGAUGGUCUGGAAGAACAGGGUGAAGAAGCAGGCUACGGUGAUCGAAGAGUGGAGGAGGAAAGACAUGAUUAUGAUGGCUCCGGUGACCCAAUGCUAGUGCAAGAAGGAGCCCGUGGUGACGGCUCCGGUGACCGAACAGAGUCCGGCCAGCCCUCCGGAUCGAGCACAACUUCGGUAAAGAGACGAGGCCCGAAGAGAAAGUUGCGCUCGGAUGAAAGGUUUGAGAUCACAGCAAUCGCGCGCGACGGCCAACCGAUUGAACCCCUCCGGACAAAGGAUGCAUUUGCUGCUCAGUGCGGGGUUCUAGUUAGGGACAAGAUCCCGAUCAGCAUCCACCAAUGGUAUAAGCCUAAGAAGGAAGAUCCUGAGGUGUCUUAUGUCAUUGAUAUGCAAAAAGAUGAUCUUUCGACUGAGCUGAAGGCAAAUUUCACCCUACCGCCAGAGGAGGAUCCGGAGAAGCCAGUUAUAGAGCAAUUAAUCAAGUCUCAUGCUCUUAAGAAGAUGGCAGACCUAUUCAGGAGGUGGAAGAAUGAGCUGAAAACGUUUGUCGACAAAGAAGAGACACCAGAAUUCAUCGGCCGGUAUGAGAAGAUCAGAGAUCACUGGCCCGCAUUUGUGGCCCACAAGACAUCGGAAAAGAGUAAGAAGAUGUCAGCGACAAACAAGAAGAAUGCUGUGAAGAAGAAGCUUCACCAUCGCACGGGGUCAGGUGGCUACCUCAAAGCCCGACCUAAGUGGGCCAAGGCUGAGAAUGAUCUGCUUGAAAAAGGGAUCAAACCACAGACAAUGAACUGGACAGACCGUUGCCGGACUUGGUUCUUCGGGGCUGGCGGAACCUUGGACCCUGUAUCAGGGAGGUGCGUUUGGACGAACGAGCUUUUGAGAAUACCAGUCAAGAAGAUUCAGCAAUAUAUCGAUAGAGCGCAGGAAGGGACGUUCGCUCCAGACAGAGAGAACGACGAGCUCACAAUGGCCCUCGGGAAUCCUGAGCACCCUGGACGGACACGAGGCACGCCAGGCUCCGUUCCGUGGAAGGCUGGUUUUCCGGACGCGGGCGGUUACAAAAGCCAGGACAGGAGGAAAAAAGUGGAGCAGAUCCAAAUUCAGAAGCUGCACGAAAGGGUUCAAGAUCUAGAGGAACGAGACGGCAAUCGAGAUGCCGAAACUGCCCCCGAAGCUACACCGCCAUCUCAGCGGAGAAGCAGCAUGGCUUCCACCGAGUUGCUUCAGCUGGAGCAUGCGGCUCCUCCUCGCUACCCCAUGGAUGCUAUCACGGAGUCUCAACAUUGCCACCUUAUGGCGGAAUGGCAGAACUUCAAAGUCAAGGCGGCUGUUGGCUCUGUUUUACCUCCUGAACCCGGCGCAACCUACCACUGCCGGCCGAUUCCAGAAGGAUAUGCUAGGGUGAUGGUGGAUGAAAUAACGGAGGGAUUUGAGGAGCUCCAGCUUGACCACCCUACCGGUGAAGGGGAGACUCGGCUAGGUUCUGCUCUGAAGACUCCAUGCCUAUGGCGGAAGGAGCUCAUCAAGCUUCCGAACUGGACGGCUCCGGCGAGUAAGGGCACUCCGCCUCCUCCUCCGCCUCCUUCUCCGGCAAGUGAUCAGGGCACUCACCCUCCUUCUCCGGCGCGUGGCGGCACUCCGCCUCCUUCUCCGCCAGCGCCGGCGCGCUAG
rnacentral:rRNA from 1 species